UGAGAACCUAGUCUUUAAUGUAAGUGUG
rnacentral:piRNA from 1 species